rnacentral:rRNA from 1 species
ACGCACGCUGGCGGCGUGCUUCACACAUGCCAGUCGCACGCUGAAGGCCUGGCUUUUGUUGGGUUGGAUGAGUGGCGAACGGGUGAGUAACACGUGAGUAACCUGCCCUCUUCUUUGGGAUAACGCCCGGAAACGGGUGCUAAUACUGGAUAUUCACUGAUCUUCGCAUGGGGGUUGGUGGAAAGGUUUGUUCUGGUGGGGGAUGGGCUCGCGGCCUAUCAGCUUGUUGGUGGGGUGAUGGCCUACCAAGGCUUUGACGGGUAGCCGGCCUGAGAGGGUGACCGGUCACAUUGGGACUGAGAUACGGCCCAGACUCCUACGGGAGGCAGCAGUGGGGAAUAUUGCACAAUGGGCGAAAGCCUGAUGCAGCGACGCCGCGUGAGGGAUGGAGGCCUUCGGGUUGUAAACCUCUUUCGCUCAUGGUCAAGCCGCAACUGUGGGUUGUGGUGAGGGUAGUGGGUAAAGAAGCGCCGGCUAACUACGUG